rnacentral:rRNA from 1 species
CCUACGGGUGGCAGCAGUGAGGAAUAUUGGUCAAUGGACGCGAGCCUGAACCAGCCAAGUAGCGUGAAGGAUGACUGCCCUAUGGGUUGUAAACUUCUUUUAUAUGGGAAUAAAAUGUUCCACGUAUGGAAUUUUGUAUGUACCAUAUGAAUAAGGAUCGGCUAACUCCGUGCCAGCAGCCGCGGUAAUACGGAGGAUCCGAGCGUUAUCCGGAUUUAUUGGGUUUAAGGGGCGCGUAGGUGGGUUGUUAAGUCAGUGGUGAAAGUUUGCGGCUUAACCGUAAAAUUGCAUUUGAAACUGGCAGUCUUGAGUACUGUAGAGGUAGGCGGAAUUCGUGGUGUAGCGGUGAAAUGCUUAGAUAUCACGAAGAACUCCGAUUGCGAAGGCAGCCCAUUGGA